CCUACGGGUGGCUGCAGUGGGGAAUAUUGGACAAUGGGCGAAAGCCUGAUCCAGCCAUGCCGCGUGUGUGAAGAAGGCCUUCGGGUUGUAAAGCACUUUCAGUGGGGAAGAAAGCCUUGGGGCUAAUACCCUCGAGGAAGGACAUCACCCACAGAAGAAGCACCGGCUAACUCCGUGCCAGCAGCCGCGGUAAUACGGCGGGUGCGAGCGUUAAUCGGAAUUACUGGGCGUAAAGCGCGCGUAGGCGGUCUGAUAAGCCGGUUGUGAAAGCCCCGGGCUCAACCUGGGAACGGCAUCCGGAACUGUCAGGCUAGAGUGCAGGAGAGGAAGGUAGAAUUCCCGGUGUAGCGGUGAAAUGCGUAGAGAUCGGGAGGAAUACCAGUGGCGAAGGCGGUCUUCUGGACUGACACUGACGCUGAGGUGCGAAAGCGUGGGUAGCAAACAGGAUUAGAUACCCGGGUAGUC
rnacentral:rRNA from 1 species